rnacentral:rRNA from 1 species
UGGGGAAUAUUGGACAAUGGGGGGAACCCUGAUCCAGCAAUGCCGCGUGUGUGAAGAAGGCCUGAGGGUUGUAAAGCACUUUCAGUGGGGAGGAGGGCUUUAGGGUUAAGAGCUAUAAAGUUGGACGUUACCCACAGAAGAAGCACCGGCUAACUCCGUGCCAGCAGCCGCGGUAAUACGGAGGGUGCGAGCGUUAAUCGGAAUUACUGGGCGUAAAGGGUGCGUAGGUGGUUGAUUAAGUUAUCUGUGAAAUUCCUGGGCUCAACCUGGGCGUGUCAGAUAAGACUGAUUGACUUGAGUAUAGGAGAGGGUAGUGGAAUUUCCGGUGUAGCGGUGAAAUGCGUAGAGAUCGGAAGGAACACCAGUGGCGAAGGCGGCUACCUGGCCUGAUACUGACACUGAGGCACGAAAGCGUGGGGAGCAAACAGGAUUAGAUACCCCCGUAGUCC